UACGUAGGGGGCAAGCGUUGUCCGGAUUUAUUGGGCGUAAAGAGCGUGUAGGCGGCCAUACAGGUCAGCUGUGAAAAUUCGAGGCUCAACCUCGAGACGUCGGUUGAAACCGUAUGGCUAGAGUCCGGAAGAGGAGAGUGGAAUUCCCGGUGUAGCGGUGAAAUGCGCAGAUAUCGGGAAGAACACCCGUGGCGAAGGCGGCUCUCUGGGACGGUACUGACGCUGAGACGCGAAAGCGUGGGGAGCGAACAGG
rnacentral:rRNA from 1 species